rnacentral:rRNA from 1 species
GAUGAACGCUGGCGGCGUGCCUAAUACAUGCAAGUCGAGCGAACAGACGAGGAGCUUGCUCCUUUGACGUUAGCGGCGGACGGGUGAGUAACACGUGGAUAACCUACCUAUAAGACUGGGAUAACUUCGGGAAACCGGAGCUAAUACCGGAUAACAUGUUGAACCGCAUGGUUCAACAGUGAAAGACGGUCUUGCUGUCACUUAUAGAUGGAUCCGCGCCGCAUUAGCUAGUUGGUAAGGUAACGGCUUACCAAGGCAACGAUGCGUAGCCGACCUGAGAGGGUGAUCGGCCACACUGGAACUGAGACACGGUCCAGACUCCUACGGGAGGCAGCAGUAGGGAAUCUUCCGCAAUGGGCGAAAGCCUGACGGAGCAACGCCGCGUGAGUGAAGAAGGUCUUCGGAUCGUAAAACCCUGUUAUUAGGGAAGAACAAAUGUGUAAGUAACUAUGCACGUCUUGACGGUACCUAAUCAGAAAGCCACGGCUAACUACGUG